CGGUAUAGCUCAGUUGGUAGAGCAGCUCAUUCGUAAUGAGCAGGUCGCAGGUUCGAGUCCCGUUACCG
rnacentral:tRNA from 1 species